rnacentral:rRNA from 1 species
CCUACGGGGGCUGCAGUGGGGAAUAUUGGACAAUGGGGGCAACCCUGAUCCAGCCAUGCCGCGUGUGUGAAGAAGGCCCUCGGGUUGUAAAGCACUUUCAGUGAGGAAGAACGCCUGGUGGUUAAUACCCAUCAGGAAAGACAUCACUCACAGAAGAAGCACCGGCUAACUCCGUGCCAGCAGCCGCGGUAAUACGGAGGGUGCGAGCGUUAAUCGGAAUUACUGGGCGUAAAGCGCGCGUAGGUGGCUUGAUAAGCCGGUUGUGAAAGCCCCGGGCUCAACCUGGGAACGGCAUCCGGAACUGUCAAGCUAGAGUGCAGGAGAGGAAGGUAGAAUUCCCGGUGUAGCGGUGAAAUGCGUAGAGAUCGGGAGGAAUACCAGUGGCGAAGGCGGCCUUCUGGACUGACACUGACACUGAGGUGCGAAAGCGUGGGUAGCAAACAGGAUUAGAUACCCGUGUAGUC